rnacentral:ncRNA from 2 species
UCGACCCUGCGUGACUGGCGAUAGAACCGAGUCGUCCGACUCAACCGAUUCAGCAUCAACCAAUCGGGUUCAAGGUGGAACAACCCACCGUGAAGCGCAGGGUGCCGUUUUGCCGUUCGCCUGGGCAGCCGUG